rnacentral:rRNA from 1 species
UACGUAGGUGGCAAGCGUUGUCCGGAGUUAUUGGGCGUAAAGCGCGCGCAGGCGGUGCGGUAAGUCUCUGGUGAAAGCGCUCGGCUUAACUGGGCGAGGGCCGGGGAGACUGCCACGCUGGAGGGGAGCAGAGGCGAGUGGAAUUCCGGGUGUAGUGGUGAAAUGCGUAGAGAUCGGAAAGAACACCAACGGCGAAAGCACUCUGCUGGGCCGACACUGACACUGAGAGACGAAAGCUAGGGGAGCGAAUGGG